AAGACUGCACUAGACUAUGUGUUUUCUGCACAUUUAUUCAAAAUUGUUACUAUUAUUUUCUUAUUUCACUGAAGACACCAUAAACUGGGGCCCAAAAGUAUAAGUAAUGUGGUUUGGAGAGAAAUAGACAUAGUUAGAACAUUCUACUUAAAAGACAAAUUAUUUUCCUAUAUAGUAAAUAGUAAGAAAAAUAUUAUACAUUGUGUCUCCACUUAAUAAGUGGAAGGGUGUGUUUUCAAGUGUGGUUAACAAGGGAGUGCCUCCUUAUCCAAGUCAAAUCACAAAAAGCAACUGUCCACAAAAGAAUUUCAAUAGCCUCUGUUAAAGACAAUAAGAGUCAAGUGCUACAUGGAGAUGUAACUACAAAAGAGGAAUUAAAAUUAGCUUCCAGACAAUCAUGAAACGGCUAAUUUAUCCAGGCUGGCAAUGUAAGCAGAAUGCGCGGUUGAAAAGGGAUCAGACCCACUCCUGCAUACGUGGGAAGAAGGUUGAUGAGCUACUCGAAGCCUUCGAAUUCAGACUGCCCAGUCUUCGUCACAGUGUCGUCACCACCUGGAGUGAGCACAGGCCCAUUAGCACACAGAAUCACAAGUCAUCCAAACCAGGUUCUCCAGAAUUAACUGGUUUCAAGCGGGGCAACGCUGGCAAAGCUGGGGAAGUAAGUGGGACCUAUCAAUUGUCCCGGGGGAAAGCCAGACCCCAGGAGAGGUGACAUAAGAGGCAGCGGGGCCCCACCUGUCCUCCUGUCCUCCUGUUACUCUGUAUCCUCUCUGUGUUUGGCCUGCUUUGCUCUGCAGAGCCAGCUCUUCCCUUGCUCCUUCAUCCUUCAUUUUCAAAUAAACUUGUGGCGCCGGUUGGCUUGCCCUGUCCAGUCCUUUGCGGAAGACGAGAGCGCCCUGGAACACCUGGUUUGGCGAGCCACUCUUCAGGAACUCCCCGACAGCGCUGCGGCAGAGCCAUCCAGGGGUCGCAUGUUGGCGUGGCCAGCCAAAAACCAGCAACAACAUUUUGGUGGCCAGCCGUGAGAGCGCAGCUCCUGUCGGCACAAGCCGUCCUUUUCCCUCUCCCCCAGGCCCGGUGCAGGGUCUGUUCCCCAGGGACUGCUGUGAGUGCAGGCUUUCGUUCUUGGUAGCCAUGUGGCUUUUUCUCCAGGCUGUGCCUUGUUCUUGAGAUAAACCUGGUUUCUUUGGCGGUGUGUUUGGUUUGCUGCUUUGUUACUCGUUUUGGAAAUGAACCUGGUCUCCCUAACCCAGUUUUGUAAAUGGUUUUUCUCACUUGGCUCCUGUUGCAGUUGUUCACUGUCUUUGUUUUUUGUUGAUUGUUGGUUUGGACAUUACCUGGUCUCCACUCUCUCUGGCUCCCUGACAGGUGUUUCUCGGUUUCUGCUUUGGUCAGUGCCACCAUCCUGUCUUGGACCAGACGAAGUCACUUGUCGGUGGGCCUGCGUCAGCGGCCGCCGUCUUUUCUUUUCUUUCUCUUUUCUCUAUCUCCUUUUUUCCUUUCUGAUUUAAUAACUGGCCCUACAAGAUAAGCUUCUGGUUACAAAAGUACAUAGGAGUUAAAAAAAAAAAAAAAAAAAAAAAGUACAUAGGAGCUUAUGCAAAGCCAGAGAGAGGAACCUUUCUCUUCCUGUCCCGAGAGAAAAAGUGUGUACUGUUCCUUUAAGAAGUCAGAAGGCAGUUGGCGGACCGGUGGGCAGCGGUGGACAGUGGGGCAGCGGUGGGCACAGUGGGGGCAGCACCCAGGCUUGCUCCUCCCCGAAGGGCCUGCCCACUCACCCAGCUCCAGGGGCGCUGCAAACACAGAGGGAGAGACUUGUCCAUUUUGAAGUGCCCGGGGCUUUCGUCUGGGCCCGAGCCCCAGCUGCCUGGCCCAGGAGCCUGCCUGGACUUGGGGCUUCCCUGUGUAAACGCAGAGUGACCGUCACAGGUUUGCCCGCGUGGUUCCGCUCCGGGUAGGCCGUCAUCGAGGGACUUGAAGUGCAGGCUGGAGCAUCGAGGGCUCAACGCCGCGGCCGAGAGCACUCUGCACAGGGAAGGACCUGAGCUGAGACAACUGGCGGCCUUCUGAUCUCGCCACCACUCAGAGUCCACCAACCUCACCACGGCUGUGUCCUUGAAUGGAAAGGUCUGAGCCUGACAAUUUAAAACGAAAACAGCUGAUCUGCUGUUGCAACACGGUCUGGAUUCAGUGCGAACUGGAGGUGGCAAAGAUCGGUACGGGAACUUCAGCCUACAGGACCAUCCCCAGCUGCAGAUGUCCAGCAGUGCAAGGAACAGUUAGGGCACCUGUCAGAAGACCUUAGCAAGUCUGCAGAUGGGUUUCAGACUUUGACCCUUGCUUUUGAUUUAUCCUGCUGACCUGUCCAACGCAUCUUGGCCGCUUGCUGUACUCCAGAUGUAAGUGUCCCAAACUAUGCCGAUGAGCCGUAUGGCUUAAAAAGAGAGGGAAAGCACUCCGGGACAGCUAUUCUCCCUUCAGCAGAGCCACACUGCCACUGUAAUACUCAGCAUGGACUAGAAACGUCGAGUGUGCUAGCUGCUCUUACCAGGGCGGUGAAAAGGUGCAUUAAAAAGUCUAUUACGAUAAAAUGAGGGGGUCUUACAAGACGCAGAGGAAAAUCCAGCUUUGUCUCAUAACUGAUGAGCAGAGGCCUUCUGCAAGUAUACUAACAUAGCCCAUCUUCCAGGGAGGAGAGGCACUAACGGGGCAAGAUUUCAUCCGUCAGCCAUCCCCAGAUAUUCAGUGUAGGCCACAAAAACUUCAGAAGGGGCCACAGACACCUGUAGCCCAACUGCUGGACACGGCCUUUGUGUGCUCAACAGCUGGGACUCGGGACGGACAAAACAAGAAGGCUCAGGUUACAGCUGUUGCAAGUGAUAAUGCUUAAAACCCUCCCGGGUUGUCUAAGGGAAAGCCCAGGGACAAUCGAGGACAGGGUUCCUGUUUCGAGUGUCAAGGACCUGGACACUGGGCAGGAGCCAAGCCUCGGCCCGGGCCCUCCUCCAAAUGUGAGGCAGCAAAUGAACCUGAGCCUUGGAACUGGAGGUCCCCGUCACAGAGAGGGGCCAGGCCAGCCAGAACCUUCACUUCCUGCUCUGAUGACUGAAGAGGCCGAGGCCCGCCCCCCCUCCCCCCCCGCAAUGCCCUGGGCCACCGACAUCACCAAGGAACCUUAGGUUUGGACAUUAUGGGUGAGCUGAUUCAACUGCUUGUAGAUACAGGGGCAGCUCACUCUGUUUUGAUUUCCUUCUCUGGAAAACUCUCCUCUAAGUCUAGAGCCACAGUUGGGGUAGAAGGGACCCCUAGUCAGAGAUUCUGUACUCCUGCUCUGACCUAUCACUUUGAAGGUCAGAUGUUUAACCACAAGUAUCCAAUUGUCCCAUAAUGUCCUGCUCCCUUGCUAGGAAGAGAUUUUUUUUUUAACAAAAUUGGGGGCAAUUCUCAAAUUCCAGCUAAAGUCAAAACAGAUUUUACUUGUUGGGACUAUACCAAGUCUCCUUGACCAAAUUAGCCAACAGGUGGGUCCUGCUGCAUGGUAUAAGGACAUAACUCGUAGGAGAAAUUCUGCUAUGCCAAUAGUUGUAAGACUAAAAACCCCAGCCAAUUUCCUAAGUGAAAGUAGUAUCCAGUCAAGGAAGAAGCACAUGAAGGUCUCCAGCCUCUCUCAGGCAGGUUUCUCAGAUACGGCUUCUGGAGCCUUGUCAGUCCCCUCACAAUACUCCCGCUCUCCCUGUAGUAAAGCCCUCAGGAGAACAUCGGAUGGUACAAGACCUCUGCUUCAUUAACGAGGCAGUCAUUCCAAUCCACCCUCGAGAUCCAGCUCUAGAUCCAGUUCCAUAUACAAUUCCCUCCCAAAUUCCAAGGGUUACUGAAUGGUUCUCAGUCUUAGAUUUAAGAGGAACAUUCUUCUCCACUCCCCUACAUCCAGACUCUGUUUUUAUUUGUCUUUGAAUGAAAAAAUCCCAUUAGAAGCGAAGAGCCGCAAUAUACCUGGACGGGAUGGUUCUCCCACAGGGCUUUAGAGACAGUCCUCACCUUUUUGCUCAGACGCUAGCAGCAGACUUGAGGAGUUUAAAGCUAGAAUGGGGAACCAUCGUAGUAUGUAGAUGGUAUUCUAGUUUGCUGUCCCACUCAGAAACUAUCUAACCACAACACUGUACAGACCUAACUUUCUAGUAAGAAGGGAUGUAAAGUCUCCAAAGAAAAUGCUCAGAGAUCCCUCCAAAAGAGUUCAAUAUCUGGGACAUAUUCCUACAGCUGGGAAGUGACAGCUGUUUAGGGACCCCAUCCAGGCUCUCUUGAUCUUGGGUCUCCUGCCCCCAAACAGCAGCUUCAUCCCUGUCUGGGAGUGGCAGGCUUUUGUAGGAUCUGGCUAUGUGAUUUAGGAUGAAUGGCAAAGCCUUUAUAUGAGGCAGUAAAAGGCCCGGAGUCUGUGCCCCUAGGAAUGGACAAAAGUGACUAACAAUGCCUUCAGGGAAAUAAAGCAUGCCCGCUGGGAAUGUCUGCCUUAAAAAGCAAACCUUUCUCUAUGUGUCAGAAAAGGGAGGAAUUGCUUUGAGGGUCUAGACCUAAAGGCCAGGACUAAAACCCCACUCAGUGGCCCACCUAUCAAAGAGCUCAGGUGGGGGGGCAGCUGGAUGGCCACCCUGCCUGAGAGCAACAGCAGCUGCAGCUAUGCUAACAGAAGACACAACAAAGAUAACUGAGACAGGGGCUGGGGAUUUAGCUCAGCGGCAAAAGCGCCUG